AAGGACCGUCAUUACAGCCUCCAGUGCACUCUGGACACCACCAGGACUCACUUCAGCUUGGCUUUCAUUGUAUGCCAGUUUUGAUAACUAGCACCUCCUGAAACCUGGUCGAGUCAUAAGGAAGUCUGAGCCAAAACCUGGCCAUCUGAAACCAGUGACACAGUGGCUGCUGCCAGUGGAAAAGGACACAUACAAGGACUUCGCUCACUGCCUUUUCACCAGAUGCCCGCACAAUGCAGCCUUUGCUCAACCAACAAUGGGCAAGGGGACAUUUCGUCUGGUGGGAGAUGACUAUGUUCAUCCAAGGGAUGUCCCACCACCACACUGUGCCACUGGCAUUGGACCAACAUAGCAUGCAGAUCCCCAAAAAUGUCUGCGGUGUCUGGCAACUGACAGAGCUUGGCCAGCAAACACUGGGCUCCAGCAGAACUGGGCUGGCACCAGCACGAUCUUUGCUCUAAUGAACUUGGAUGAGGCUGCCUAGUGUCUUUCCUGUUUUCCUAACUUGCUUUAGCAUGACAAUCUGAUUCAGCUGGCACCAGGCAUGAGAUGGAAACCAGAAGGGUGUGGGGAACCUUUCUCCAAGAUAAGCCAGGAUGUCUUGUCACAAAGAGAAAAGAAAUUCCUUAAAUUUCAAACGUAUAAUUAAAAUGAGUCAGUAAAGAAAAAACACAAAAUGGGCAAGAGAUGGAUGUGUGUGUGGCAGUAGCACAGGAAGCAUGACAGCUGAUGAUUAUGGGGGAAACUCACGUAAACCUUAUUCAUGUAAGGCUGUAAGGAGAGAAUAGUGAUAAGACAGAUUAAGGUGAUGAACCUGGGUAUACCAUCCAGAAGCAUGGGCACCAUGCACAAGGAUUUUGGUUUCCCUUUGUGUGUGGCCCUGGGACUUCUUCCCCUUCCCCUUCCCCUUUCCCUUCCCUUCUCUAUCCCUCCCAAACAGUUAAGGAGAGCAUGGACCACCCCAAUGCCCCACACAGUCCUUGCCUGCUUCAUAUACCUGUGCUCACCAGGCAGCGAUGUUCACUGGUGCGAGUGAUGGCAGGGAGGAAUAGGAGGAGGUGGCCUAGGGCAGACAGAGACAGUGGAGGAUUUGUGUGAAUUCAACUCAGAUCUCCUUGCAACACUUCCAAGUGUUGCAGGACCCUGCACAACUCAGACCUCCUGAGAUCAGCUGCAGCUGAUUUCUCCUUGAUUGCCCUUGAUUUCUGUGGUGGUGAUGGCACCACAAGCUCCUGCCCUAACAGCAAGCCUUCAGAAUUGCCCUGGUGAAACAAAGCCCUAAACCUUUGAUAAAACUCUGGUUGUGGAUAUUGAAACACAGAAUCUUGGAACAGACCAGUCUGGAAGGAGCUUAAAUGAUCACACUGUCCAAAAAUUUUUGUGGGAAAAGAGAAUCCAGAUGAGAUCAUCUAUCACCUUGUCCAACGCCAUUUUGAAAAUCUCAACAAAUAGAGACUCUAUUGCAUCUGUGGGGAAGGUGAUCCAGUCACUGAUUUUCUCAUUGUAAAAAAUUUCUUUUUUUAAAUCAAAAUGAAACCUCUUCCAGUGUGUCCUGUACCAGUUGCUCCUUGUUUUUUACACACGGCUCCUAGCAAAGAGAGAGCCUCUUUUUUGUAGCCUGCCACUAAGCACUGGGCAACUACUAUGAGUUUCCCCCUGAGCCUUCUCUCCUCCAGGAUGUGAAAGCCCAUCUCCUUGGCCUCAAGUUGCACUAGGGGAGGUUCAGGUUGGAGAAAUUUCUUCUCAGAAAGAGU